GUGAGUCAUCGAAUCUUUGAACGCACCUUGCGCUCCUUGGUAUUCCGAGGAGCAUGCCUGUUUGAGUGUCAUUAAUAUAUAUCAACCCUCUUCUUUGUUGAGUGGUUUGGAUGUGGGGGGUUUGCGUGGCCUCUUAAAGGGUCAGCUCCCCUGAAAUGCAUUAGCAGAACAAACCUGUUCAUUGGUGUGAUAACUAUCUACGCUAUUGAAUGAUGAAGGCAGUUCAGCUUCCUUAACAGUCUUUGGUACAAUUUAAUCAUUUAUUUGACCUCAAAUCAGGUAGGACUACCCGCUGAACUUAAGCAUAUCAAUAAGGCGAGG
rnacentral:rRNA from 1 species